ACCUUGUCCUCCUGAGCCUAGUUGUCCUCCACCAAAUUCACCGCAUCCAUUUUGUCCUGGACCGUGUAUAUACCAAAAUAGAAUUUUAGAUGGCAUAACGUGUAGAGUCAACUGUUUUCGUGGACUUCAACCACCCCCUGGUAGACCAGGCGAUCCGUGUCCACCAACGGGGUGUCCAGGCAAACCAACUGGAACAGCAGUUCAACAAGAUUUCCCCCGAAAUCCUCCAGGAACACCCCCGGGAAAAAGCCGUUGUCCAGUUGAUUCAGGUUCUAAUGCCAAAUGUUAUGGACAUUACCACAGAUACUGUAAGGAUGAUUCAUCGUGCCCUAAAAGGACAAAGUGUUGUAAGCAGGGAUGCUCCUACAAAUGUGUAGAUGCUGUUUAACUUUCAUUGAUUAUAUCUUUUAAA